ACAUUCCUGAUGACGCUGGGCUUCACCCGACUUGUUACCGGCGGUUCAUUGAUAAGAAGCGUUUGAAUUCUGCAGAAAAACUGGCCAAACGGCUGGAUGUGGGUCAAGAUGAGUUUGUGGCAUCGGACAACGCUCAGGCUCGACAAGUGACAUUCCAAAGAAAAAACUAAGAUCGAAGACGGGCCUGCCUAUCGGUUCUGCUGGCCCUGUGCUCCCUGACAUUUGGAUCAUUUGCAAGAAAACGGACAAGAGAGUUACUGUGGGAGGCUAACGGCAGAAGGACCAUCUUUCACAGGCACAAACGCUUUCAGCAGGCCAGUUGAUGAACGCUGCCAGGAUAAAGCAAGACAGUAGCAUUCUCUUGCAUAUUGAAGACAAAGACUGUGUGGCCAUGGAGGUGCGGUACCACAAGUCCUGCUACAGACAGUACACCAGGUUCAUGACAAAGUCUGAUGUAACAGUUACUGGAACCGCAGAUGAAGUAAGUGAACCAACCUUUGAUGCCAGCUAAUACAUAUUCUGCCAAAGAGUAAUUGUUAAUCAGGAGGUGCUGAGAAUGAACCAGCUACGACAAAUGUUUUUAAAUACGGUGCAAAAACAUGAAGAUUGUGAUGCUUCAAACUACAGGCAGGAUCAAUUAAAGAGAAGGCUGACUCUGGACUUUCCCCAACUGAUCAGGAAAGCGCAACAUCUGCGAACUGGUUUUUGUUGAGACAUUGUCUGCAAAGCUGAUAGACAGGCUACCUCAUCCAUCAGGUACAGACACAACUGAGUCAACUGAAGUAAGCCAAGGUGAAAGUGACACUAAACACAUGGCAAGAACAACAGCUGGUCCGCAAACUACUGAGAACACAAGGACACUUAAUAGUGCAGCGCUGAUUUUGAAGCAGCUACUAUGUGACUCUCCCGGUAUGACGUGCCCCUGGCCACCCACAUCAGAUGAAUUAAAUGUGUCCGAUGCAAAAUCUGUUGUGCCACUUGAACUGUACAAUGUUAUUGCUUGGAUUGUAGGUGCAACAGAAGAACCAACUGUAUGUUGAUAUUCCAGAAGAUGUGAACCUAAAAGUGAUAUCUGUUUGUCAAGACAUUAUGUAUCUUGCAUCUAGAGGUCG